rnacentral:lncRNA from 1 species
GGGGGGGAUGGUGGAACACGCUGACUGGUCUGGGCUAUUCAAGAUCCAUGAACUGGAAGAUGCUUUCUUAUAACUCAGAGAAAAGAGAUGAAAAUGAAUCAAAGAACAGGAAGGAGACAAGCUCAGGAGAGUCACCCUAAGAAGGACGUGUGGAAGACUUGACUGAUUGGAGGAUCAAAAUGUGUCGGGGGAAGGUGUACAAGGAGGAGUAAGGACACAGAUGUCCUGACUUCACACAGUGGGGGAUUAGAAGCCACCAUCAAAUACAGAUGAAACAGGAAUAAAAGUAGUAGUACAUUACUUAAGCUUUAAAAGGGUAAGACUCCUGGGAAUUUGGAAGCUGAGACUUGAGGAGCAGAGGCAUCUAGCUGUGUAAACACAGAGUUUCAGUGGCAGCACCCUAAAUGCUUAGCUGAUAGAUCCGGAAUUAAAUACAGACCUAGAAACUGGAGUUGGAAAACUUCCUGGCAGCACUCCUUCCCUGCCAUCCCGGUGAUCCCCUUCUGGAUGGAGGGCGUGGAGCUCAGCACAUUCACGUCUGCAGUUCUCAGAGAACCAAGUGUUAAGGAAUGUCAGGGAAGGAAGAAGGCAGCCAGCCAGGAAGGGGAGGUCCUGGCCUGAGCACGCCAGGCAUAGAGGGAUAGAGGGUAGCGAGGAAACUGCACCUGUCUCCAAUCCUCGACCCCGGCCCCGAAACACGACAUUGGCUGAAACAGAUUAAAAGCAUAAAAUGGCACAAAGAAAUGGGAGAAGGUUGGCCUCUGGUCGGGCAAACAUGAGGGCAUGAAGAUGUAUAGUGUCCCACACGGGAGGAAGCCCUUGCCGGGCCCCUCAGGAUUUAUAACAAGCUCACCUGAAGGAGAAACUUCAGGGGCACUUACACCAUCAGAUACCUAGAAAGGAGCUGUCAUUUCCUCACUGAAGAGUUUGCAAGCAGAUGGAAAAUGUGUGUCUGGAUCAUCUUGUGGCCCGAAUGGGGAGAAAAGAUGCAGUAUUCCAAAGCAGGAGAUUCACUGAAAAAGAUGUUUAAGAAGUUGCUGAUGAAGAAAAGUUCAGGAUUCACAGCUCCAUCCAAAGGGAAUAGCCACUUUUCUCAUUUUGAGAUAUGACUACUAACAAGUAUUAUUCUGCAUCUUCAGCCAGGCUGUGGAAGGCCCCAUUCUUUCUGUAACACAGAUGUUCAAUUGGAAUUUUCCACCUGGUCACGUAAUUCUACUUUGGGAUUUAACAGGUUAACUUGGCACUGGUCACUGGCCUCUGAGGGUAAAAUAUGAUAGUUCAGCAUAGAUUCUAUUUGUUGAUAACUCAUCAUAGCCACAUUGGCAUCAAUAAGUUUUCUGUAGGGCACACUUUUCCUUUAAUGUGGACACAGUCACAUAAUAAUAUGCUUAUGGUGCAGACAUUGGUUCUAAACUCACUUUGCAUUAUCUGUAUCUGCAUCUAUAUCUGUAACUGUAUCUAUCUGUAUCUACAUCUGUAUCUGUAUCUGUACUUAUAUCUGUAUCUGUAUCUAUCUGUAUCUAUAUCUGUAUCUGUCUGUAUAUCCGUAUCUGUAUCUAC